UACGUAAGGAGCAAGCGUUAUCCGGAUUUACUGGGCGUAAAGGGAGCGUAGGCGGCCUGCCAAGUCUGAUGUGAAAUACCGGGGCUCAACCCCGGGACUGCAUUUGGAACUGUGCUGCUAGAGUGUCGGAGAGGCAGGCGGAAUUCCUAGUGUAGCGGUGAAAUGCGUAGAUAUUAGGAGGAACACCAGUGGCGAAGGCGGCUCUCUGGUCUGUAACUGACGCUGAGGCUCGAAAGCAUGGGUAGCGAACAGG
rnacentral:rRNA from 1 species